rnacentral:rRNA from 1 species
AGUUUGAUCCUGGCUCAGAUUGAACGCUGGCGGCAUGCCUUACACAUGCAAGUCGAACGGCAGCACGGGAGCAAUCCUGGUGGCGAGUGGCGAACGGGUGAGUAAUAUAUCGGAACGUGCCCAGUCGUGGGGGAUAACGUAGCGAAAGCUACGCUAAUACCGCAUACGAUCUAUGGAUGAAAGCGGGGGAUCGCAAGACCUCGCGCGAUUGGAGCGGCCGAUAUCAGAUUAGGUAGUUGGUGAGGUAAAGGCUCACCAAGCCGACGAUCUGUAGCUGGUCUGAGAGGACGACCAGCCACACUGGGACUGAGACACGGCCCACACUCCUACGGGAGGCAGCAGUGGGGAAUUUUGGACAAUGGGCGCAAGCCUGAUCCAGCAAUGCCGCGUGCAGGAUGAAGGCCUUCGGGUUGUAAACUGCUUUUGUAUGGAACGAAACGGUGAGCUCUAAUACAGUUUGCUAAUGACGGUACCGUAAGAAUAAGCACCGGCUAACUACGUGCCAGCAGCCGCGGUAAUACGUAGGGUGCGAGCGUUAAUCGGAAUUACUGGGCGUAAAGCGUGCGCAGGCGGUGAUGUAAGACAGAUGUGAAAUGCCCGGGCUCAACCUGCGACCUGCAUUUGUGACUGCAUCGCUAGAGUACGGUAGAGGGGGAUGGAAUUCCGCGUGUAGCAGUGAAAUGCGUAGAUAUGCGGAGGAACACCGAUGGCGAAGGCAAUCCCCUGGACCUGUACUGACGCU